UACGUAGGAGACGAGCGUUGUCCGGAGUUACUGGGCGUAAAGGGUGCGCAGGUGGCGGCGCGCGUGGGGGGUGAAAUCGCCUGGCUUAACUGGGCGGGGGCUUUCCAGACGGCGCGGCUUGAGCCACAGAGGGGGGCGUGGAAUUCCGGGUGGAGCGGUGAAAUGCGCAGAUAUCAGGAGGAACACCGGUGGCGAAGGCGGAUCUCUGGGCCAUUACUGACGCUGAGGAGCGAAAGCGUGGGGAGCGAACAGG
rnacentral:rRNA from 1 species